CUGCUUCAUGUACGCAGUGUGCCAGAUGUCACUUGUCAACUACACGAAUCUAUUACACUUGUUCGUUUCUUUUAAUGGCGUCACUCGCAUAACACAACACUUAGCACUUUGUCACUCCUUAGUUGUAAUGAAGAAGCAACUCAAAUAAUAAUAACAAGAUAAAUAAAGCCAAAUUAAGUCUAAAAUAUCAAUUCGAGUGAAGCUUCGUAUGGAGCAGAGAAGCCGAGACAAUCAAGCGAAGCAGCGAACCGGCACCAGUCACUCAGUUGAUGGAGUGUGUGACGCCGUGGUGUUACGUAAUCCAUUGGCUGGGCUUAGGCUUGGUGGCUGCUGGAGGACCUGGCUAACCCUGUGACUAGUGCUUGUGAGUGAAGUGACGCACCAAGACUCAUGAAAAGGAAUAAUCGAGCCAGGAAGAGGGAAGAAGAGAAACACGAGUGAGGGAUGUGUUGUGUUGGUGACAUGAUUUAGGCUGGAGGGCUGCUUGAGGGCCUGGCUAACUCUGUGACUACUACUUGAGGUUAGGCCCCGCGCGUGACCGAGUAUCAGAAGAGACAAAUGCAGGAUGAGAGAGGGAGAGAGAGGAGACAAAAAAUAAAGUGCAAGGUGAGAGAAGAGAGGACACCCCCCCACAAAAAAAAAGUGGAAAAUGGGAGAGGAGAUAAAAAGCAAGUGCAAGAUGAGAGAGAAAAAAAAAAAAAAAAAAAACAAUGUGGGAAAGGAGACAAAAAAGUGCAAGGCAGGAGAGAGGAGACAAAAAUAAAAAGAAAAAAAAAACUAGUGCAAGAUAGAAGAGAGGAGAGAGAAAAAAGAAAAAAAAAAAGAAAAAGUGUAAUAUAAUGAGGAACUCGUAUGAAAAAAUGUACCUUCUUGAUUAGAGGAGUCUGGGAUGACCUGUGGACCUCUGAAGGCAGCAGAAGAGCAUGGGGGAGGCAGAAGCUCAGUGCUUCACUCUGUAGCCUGAUGGUUUACGCGUCACUAGACAACUCCAUCACCGCGUUGUUUGUCUCGCGGGGAAAGGAAAAGAGGUGAGUGCAGGCGGUUUUUUCUUGCACCCUCUUGAUGAACUACUAUAGGUCGCCGUUGCGCUC